AGGGAUUGCCUCAGUAACGGCGAGUGAAGCGGCAAUAGCUCAAAUUUGAAAUCUGGCUCUUUCAGAGUCCGAGUUGUAAUUUGUAGAGGAUGCUUCGGCUUACGUUUCGGUCUAAGUUCCUUGGAACAGGACGUCACAGAGGGUGAGAAUCCCGUUUGUGGCCGAGACUUCCGCCAUGUGAAGCUCCUUCGACGAGUCGAGUUGUUUGGGAAUGCAGCUCUAAAUGGGAGGUAUAUUUCUUCUAAAGCUAAAUACCGGCCAGAGACCGAUAGCGCACAAGUAGAGUGAUCGAAAGAUGAAAAGCACUUUGGAAAGAGAGUUAAAAAGUACGUGAAAUUGUUGAAAGGGAAGCGCUUGCGACCAGACUUGCCCGCGGAUGCUCAACCGGUCCUUCGGCCGGUGCACUCUUCCGCGGUCAGGCCAGCAUCAGUUCGAGCGGUCGGAUAAAGGCCUUGGGAAUGUGGCUCUCUUCGGGGAGUGUUAUAGCCCUUGGUGUAAUACGGCCCGCCUGGACUGAGGCCCGCGCUUCGGCUAGGAUGCUGGCGUAAUGGUCGUAAGCGGCCCGUCUUGAAACACGGACCAAGGAGUCUAACAUCUAUGCGAGUGUUUGGGUGUCAAACCCGUGCGCGAAAUGAAAGUGAACGGAGGUGGGAACCUUAGGGUGCACCAUCGACCGAUCCUGAUGUCUUCGGAUGGAUUUGAGUAAGAGCAUAGCUGUUGGGACCCGAAAGAUGGUGAACUAUGCCUGAAUAGGGUGAAGCCAGAGGAAACUCUGGUGGAGGCUCGCAGCGGUUCUGACGUGCAAAUCGAUCGUCA
rnacentral:rRNA from 1 species